AGUGAACGCUGGCGGUAGGCCUAACACAUGCAAGUCGAACGGCAGCACAGUAAGAGCUUGCUCUUACGGGUGGCGAGUGGCGGACGGGUGAGGAAUACAUCGGAAUCUACUUUUUCGUGGGGGAUAACAUAGGGAAACUUACGCUAAUACCGCAUACGACCUACGGGUGAAAGCAGGGGAUCUUCGGACCUUGCGCGAUUGAAUGAGUCGAUGUCGGAUUAGCUAGUUGGCGGGGUAAAGGCCCACCAAGGCGACGAUCCGUAGCUGGUCUGAGAGGAUGAUCAGCCACACUGGAACUGAGACACGGUCCAGACUCCUACGGGAGGCAGCAGUGGGGAAUAUUGGACAAUGGGCGCAAGCCUGAUCCAGCCAUACCGCGUGGGUGAAGAAGGCCUUCGGGUUGUAAAGCCCUUUUGUUGGGAAAGAAAAGCAGCAGGUUAAUACCCCGCUGUUCUGACGGUACCCAAAGAAUAAGCACCGGCUAACUUCGUG
rnacentral:rRNA from 1 species